AUUGAACGCUGGCGGCAUGCCUUACACAUGCAAGUCGAACGGCAGCGGACCUUCGGGUGCCGGCGAGUGGCGAACGGGUGAGUAAUAUAUCGGGAACGUACCUUUCAGUGGGGGAGUAACGUAGCGAAAGUUAACGCUAAUACCGCAUAUUCUGUGAGCAGGAAAGCAGGGGAUCGCAAGACCUUGCGCUGAUUGAGCGGCCGAUAUCAGAUUAGCUAGUUGGUGAGGUAAAGGCUCACCAAGGCGACGAUCUGUAGCGGGUCUGAGAGGAUGAUCCGCCACACUGGAACUGAGACACGGUCCAGACUCCUACGGGAGGCAGCAGUGGGGAAUUUUGGACAAUGGGCGCAAGCCUGAUCCAGCCAUGCCGCGUGAGUGAAGAAGGCCU
rnacentral:rRNA from 1 species